UGGGGAAUAUUGGGCAAUGGGCGCAAGCCUGACCCAGCAACGCCGCGUGAAGGAAGAAGGCUUUCGGGUUGUAAACUUCUUUUACCAGGGACGAAGAAAGUGACGGUACCUGGAGAAUAAGCCACGGCUAACUACGUGCCAGCAGCCGCGGUAAUACGUAGGUGGCAGCGUUGUCCGGAUUUACUGGGUGUAAAGGGCGUGUAGCCGGGUUGGCAAGUCAGAUGUGAAAUCUAGGGGCUCAACCCCUAAACUGCAUUUGAAACUGUUGAUCUUGAGUAUCGGAGAGGUAACCGGAAUUCCUUGUGUAGCGGUGAAAUGCGUAGAUAUAAGGAAGAACACCAGUGGCGAAGGCGGGUUACUGGACGACAACUGACGGUGAGGCGCGAAAGCGUGGGGAGCAAACAGGAUUAGAUACCCUGGUAGU
rnacentral:rRNA from 1 species